AUCAGAAGCUGUUGCUGAGGCAGAACAGGACGUUCUGUGUGUGUGUAGGGGGUUAUCCCAGCAGUGAGGAGGGCUAAGCUAAUGUUAAUGCAGCUUACGGCUAAACACAAAGGCUUUCUGUCUCAUAUCGUUUACUAAGGAAGCUUUAAUACAGAUGAAGAGAUUCAACCCAGUACAGGUUUGUGUGUAAAAGCCCUGGGUCGCCCCCUGCUGGUCAGGUCACAGCAUUACACGCGGUGUAAAGUGAGUGGGUGGCACAGAAGGGGUCUAGUUCUUCUCCCGAACUUUAGCACCUCCACUCGCCCGCCAAAAACAGGCAUUUCAGUGCCCGUUGACCUGUCAAUCAUUAUGACGUCACAGACUGAAGCCCCUCCCCUCUUGUACUACCACCAGCUCCUCAGCAGCUUUAGAGUACUGUGUUGAACAUGAUCACCUUCCCUCAGGUGAGUCCUCUAUAACAUGACCAUCAAUAAUUACCCAGAAGCCAGUUCACCUAAAGGUAAGUGUUGUAUUAGUUAAUGAGAAAACCAGCUAGUUUACCCCUUAAUUCUUUAGUGAGCAAAUCGUUGUUUUAAACACCAUCACCGCCUCAUCACACCGUUCUCUCAUUCAAGGGAAGAUUUUUUGCCUUAAAGGGGAUGGAAAUUAACCAACAUGGAUGUGUUGAAAUCAGACAAUUUUUAAAAAAAAAAAAAAAAAACAAUCUUUACAAGACAAUAAUGCAAAAUAAAAGUUUAGUUUUCAGUAAAGGGUUGUGUGUUUAUAGGCAGUGACACACACUGAGGGACUAAAGGGAUUGGGAGUGUGUAUGUAAGCCUUCAGUGCAGUUACAGUCUGUCUGAGGAGAGGGAGUUAACAAGGAGCUGUUAUAAUGUGUACUGCAAAUUCUGCAUUAAUUUCUUUCUGUGUGCGUGUGUGUGUCUCUCUCUCUCACACACACUAUCACACACGUACACACACACACACACACACAGCUUUACUGUGUUAUAUCUGAGGGGAAGCUGAGUGUGUGAGUUAUUCAGAGACACAAUACAUUUAAUAGUCAAAAUUAAAAUAAACAUACAAGUUCUUUAUAAAUGAAUUAAACAACAACUUGAAGUUAACAGAUCAGAGUCAGGCUUGUGAUGACAAAGUUCCAUUUGUUUACAUGAAACAGCUUGAUUUUUCAUUCCAAAAUAAUCAAAGUGCCCAAAUCUCCUUCACGUGUACAGUGGAAUUAAUUCUCAUAGCUUUGUUCUGAUCCACAUGUGAAACAUUAGACUGUGGUUUAUUUGAUCACAUGAUGUGUUACACACACACACACACACACACACACACACACACACACACA